AAAGGUUUGGUCCCGGCCUUUCUAUUAGCCCUUAGUAGGAUUACACAUGCAAGUAUCCGCACACCGGUGAAAAUGCCCUUCAGCCCGUCACCAGCUGACCAAAAGGAGCGGACAUCAAGCACACUACAAAGUAGCUCACGACGUCUUGCCUAGCCACACCCCCACGGGAUACAGCAGUGAUAAAAAUUAAGUAAUGAACGAAAGUUUGACUAAGCCAUACUAACCCAGGGUUGGUAAAUUUCGUGCCAGCCACCGCGGUCACACGAUUAACCCGAGUUAAUAGAUCAACGGCGUAAAACGUGUUAAGGAAUAUGUCCCAUAAUAAAGUUAAACCUUGGCCAUGCUGUAGAAAGCUCCGGCCAAGACUAAAAUAAACUACGAAAGUGACUUUAAUCCCAUCCGACCACACGACAGCUAGGAUACAAACUGGGAUUAGAUACCCCACUAUGCCUAGCCUUAAACCUAAAUAGUCAACAUAACAAUACUAUUCGCCAGAGUACUACUGGCAACAGCUUAAAACUCAAAGGACUUGGCGGUGCUUCAUAUCCCUCUAGAGGAGCCUGUUCUAUAAUCGAUAAACCCCGAUACACCUCACCAGCUCUUGCUAAUACAGCCUAUAUACCGCCAUCUUCAGCGAACCCUUAAAAGGAGCCAAAGUAAGCAAAAACACACAAACGUAAAAACGUUAGGUCAAGGUGUAGCCCAUGAGCCGGGAAGAAAUGGGCUACAUUUUCUACCCUAGAACACUAAACGGAAGUUUUCGUGAAACCGAAAAUAUGAAGGAGGAUUUAGUAGUAAAUUGAGAAUAGAGAGCUCAAUUGAACUAGGCCAUGAAGCACGCACACACCGCCCGUCACCCUCCUCAAGUACCAGGAUGCGUACUACCAACCAUAUUGCUAUAACGCACAGACAUAUGAGAGGAGAUAAGUCGUAACAAGGUAAGCGUACUGGAAAGUGCGCUUGGACAAAU
rnacentral:ncRNA from 1 species